CGCGCCUGGCAACAGGCGCGGCACGGUAACCCCCAGUCGGAGCAAGGCCAAGUAAGCAGCGAGACCCGGCCCGGGUCGUUGGAGCUGCGGGUAGGCCGCGCGAGGUGGCUGGCGACAGCCAUCCCAGAGAGAUGACCAUCUGUCCGCCAACAGCGGAUAAACAGAACUCGGCUUAUGGCCCUACCCUCCAC
rnacentral:ncRNA from 2 species